rnacentral:rRNA from 1 species
UACAGAGGGUGCGAGCGUUGUCCGGAAUCACUGGGCGUAAAGGGCGCGUAGGUGGUGGCUUAAGCGUGCGGUGAAAGCUCGGGGCUCAACCCCGAGUCGGCCGUGCGAACUGGGCUCACUGGAGCAUAGUAGAGGCAGGUGGAAUUCCGGGUGUAGCGGUGGAAUGCGUAGAGAUCCGGAAGAACACCGGUGGCGAAGGCGGCCUGCUGGGCUAAGGCUGACACUGAGGCGCGACAGCGUGGGGAGCAAACAGG